rnacentral:rRNA from 1 species
AUGGCGCCAACGACGCACUUCACGCCGUCGCAGGCGCACGCGGCGGCCACCUCCCACCACCCUGCCGCGGCGGCGGCGGCGGCCACGGCCACUGCCCGGCUGCAUGCGUCGGCGUCCGCGUCGGCGCCUGCCGCGGCGGCCGCGCUUUGCCCGCCCUUCCUCGCGGCGGGGUCCCACUCCGUGACGUGCCCGCCCGUCCAGAACCCGAUAUUUAGUGGCCCGGCCGCGCCGUGGGCGGUGCAGCCCCAGCGCGCCGCUGCUGGGGCCCUUGGCCCGGAGUUCAGGCGUGCGCGCUCCACCAAGAACAUCUCCAAGCGCAACAACCGUGGUGCAGGAGGCCAGGAACGCGGGGCGCGCGCGUCCUCAGCUGCUGCUGGGCGCUGUGUCGACAAGCUGCUCCGCGUUGCCCCUGAAGACCGGCGCGCGCUCGGCGCAUCGCUUUCCUCUUUCCGGGGAGAGCUGGUUGGUCCUGAUGAUUACUGCCAUGUCCUUCGGGAGCUCGGCGACAGGGACAAGUCUGCGCUCCGUGCGCUUGAGGUGUUCCACGCUGCACUGCCCCUUGUUGGCAAUGGCUCCGUCGAUAAGGGCAAGCUUUUGACCGCCGCAAUUGGUGCACUCGGCAAGAUGGGGCGACCAGACCUCGCAAGAAGAGGUUUUGAUUCUGGCAUUGCAGGGGGUUAUGGCAAAACGGUGUUUGCAUACUCAGCGCUCAUAUCAGCAUAUGCCAGGAGUGGUCUUGCGACCGAGGCCAUGGGGGUGCUUGAGUCGAUGAAGGGUGCAGGCUUGCGGCCUACCACAGUUACGUACAAUGCGGUGAUUGAUGCAUGUGGGAAAGGGGGUGUUGACCUCAGGUUCACGCUCGGAUAUUUUCGUCAGAUGCUACGGGAUGGGCUUUGUCCUGACCGGAAGACUUUCAAUUCACUUCUUUCUGCGUGUAGCCGCGCAGGGCACUUGGAGGAUGCCCGUGCUGUCUUUGAUGAAAUGAUCCAUCUUGGCAUUGGGCGUGACAUUUACACAUACAACACAUUUAUCGACGCAAUUUGCAAGUGUGGCAACAUAGAGCUUGCUAUGCAGGUUCUGCUGGAUAUGGAAGCGAAAAAGCUGAAGCCAAAUGUUGUUACAUACAGUACCCUGAUUGAUGGAUACUCCAAGCUGGAGAAGUAUGAGGAGGCACUCAAGUUGUACGAAAAGAUGAAGUCUUUGGGAAUUCGAUUGGACCGAGUUUGCUACAACACAGUGCUGGCUAUUUAUGUGAAGACCGGAAAGUAUGCCGAGAUUGCCAUUGUGUGUGACGAGAUGGAGGACUCUGGGAUUGAGAAGGAUACUGUCACUUACAAUUCUUUGAUUAAUGGAUAUGGAAAGCAGGGACGCUUGGACAUCGUCUCUUUCCUCGUCCAAGAUAUGAGGAGACGCGGGGUAGCUCCUAGUGUACUCACAUACUCAACUUUGAUAGAUAUCUAUUCAAAGGCAGGAAUGCAUGGUGAUGCAUUUAAUGUCUAUUUAGAUUUUAAGGAAUCUGGCCUAAAGGCCGAUGUUGUUCUGUUCAGCUCUUUCAUUGACACAUUGGCCAAGAAUGGAUUGGUAGAGUGGGCAUUAUCUUUGCUGAAUGAUAUGACUGAGAUGGGUAUCAAGCCAAAUGUGGUUACGUAUAACACAAUAAUUGAUGCAUUUGGCAAGUCUAAGGUACACGCUGAGGAGGAUCCUGAAGUUGGAGAGAUGGGCAUUGUUGGGGUUUAUAAUGGCCAGAUCAUAAGGGCUGCUAAUCCAGUGACAAGAGGACGCUCUGCCAUUGAUGUCCGGAUGAGGAGGUCUCAGGAAUUGUAUUUCAUUCUGGAAUUGUUUCAGAAGAUGGUCCAACAGGGUGUACGGCCAAAUGUUGUUACAUUUUCUGCGAUCCUGAAUGCGUGCAGUCGCUGUAAUAACUUUGAAGAUGCAGCCCUAUUACUGGAACAACUUCGCUUGUUUGAUAACUUUGUCUACGGCGUUGCGUAUGGGCUCCUUAUGGGUUACCAAGAAAUUUGGUCGCAAGCACAGUCCCUUUUUAAUCAGCUGGGACGCAUGGAUUCUCCAACAUCCUCUGCCUUUUACAAUGCUCUUACUGAUAUGCUAUGGCAUUUUGGCCAGAGGCAAGGAGCUCAGUUAAUUGUGCUCGAAGGGGUGAAUCGCCGUGUGUGGGAGAACACAUGGAGUGAGUUUUGCUUGGACCUGCACCUUAUGUCAUGUGGUGCAGCUCAAGCAAUGGUUCAUGCAUGGCUCCUGAAUGUGCGCUCUAUUGUCUUCGAAGGACGAGCUAUGCCUGAAUUUGUAAGCAUUCUGACAGGGUGGGGAAAGCAUAGCAAGAUUGCGGGCGCAAGCACUCUCCGUCACGUCAUCGAAGCACUGCUCAACUCAAUCGGAGCACCCUUUCAGGUUGAGCGAUUCAACAUUGGAAGGUUUGUGUCGCCCAGCGUCGUGGUGGCUGCCUGGUUGAAAGAAUCCGGCACCAUCAACACGAUACUCCUCAGCGACGAGCGUGCGCAGCGUGCAAGCCCAUCCAAUCUGGUGCCGAGGUUGGAGGCGCUGCAGUUGUAG